UUUCCCUCCUCCGAAUUUCUUCGUACAUUUCUUCCAUUUCCACACGGAGGUAUGCCCGAUCAAUUGGAAUCUCAUGGAUGAAUCUCCUCGAAGCCUUGGCAUUAAAUUCUUCCUUUGCCAGUUCUGAUACGAACCGGGAUUCAUCAUAAGUAGGCUGCUGGGACGUGCCCGCCGCUCUCUUUUGCUUCUUGUAUUACCUGCAAGGAAUCAGAAGAACCAUCAAAUAUGUCCUAACUAGUGCCAGUUGGAUGGGUACUCAGACUUAGCCACCCGAAGACACCAAAACAAUAACCCCUUCCCCCCUUGAAUUCAUCCUUGCAAACUAGCCCAACUAGCAGGGUGUUAAAGGUCACAACCUCCACAGAGGCCCGCACAACAGUACUACUCACAAAAUUCGGCCUACAACACCCCACACUUACUCUUUCAAGUAUUUCACCUCAAUUACAACACCACCAUUCACCUCCAAAUUAUCAAAACAACUCCCUCAAUUGAAACACCAUGAAGACCCACCCAUUUUAACACCAAACAAGUGUACAAGAAUCUCAUACAACAAUAGAAACAAACAAAAGAAGAAAAAUUUUACAAAAAAUAAACUAAUCCUACCUAGGGUUAAGCUAAAUUAAUAUAUUCUAAUUACACUACUUAGAAGAGGAAAUAGAGAAAGAAUAAGAGAAAACUUACUUGCUUGUAAAAGGGAAGGGGUGGGUAGUGGUUGGAGGAUGUUGGGGAAGAUGAUAAUGGAGUUGGAGAGUGGAUGGAGGGUUUGGGUUUAGAGAGAAGAAGAGAGUUU
rnacentral:lncRNA from 1 species